rnacentral:rRNA from 1 species
AUUGAACGCUGGCGGCAUGCCUUACACAUGCAAGUCGAACGGUAGAGGGGCAACCCUCGAGAGUGGCGAACGGGUGAGUAAUGCAUCGGAACGUGCCCAGUAGUGGGGGAUAGCCCGGCGAAAGCCGGAUUAAUACCGCAUACGACCUCAGGGUGAAAGCGGGGGACUCGCAAGAGCCUCGCGCUAUUGGAGCGGCCGAUGUCAGAUUAGGUAGUUGGUGGGGUAAAGGCCCACCAAGCCGACGAUCUGUAGCUGGUCUGAGAGGACGACCAGCCACACUGGGACUGAGACACGGCCCAGACUCCUACGGGAGGCAGCAGUGGGGAAUUUUGGACAAUGGACGAAAGUCUGAUCCAGCCAUGCCGCGUGCGGGGAAAAGGCCUUCGGGUUGUAAACCGCUUUUGUCAGGGAAGAAAUCUUCUGGGCUAAUACCCCGGGAGGAUGACGGUACCUGAAGAAUAAGCACCGGCUAACUACGUGCCAGCCGCCGGCGUAA